CUUAGUGGCAGACGGGUGAGUAACAUGUGGGUAUCUACCCUUUGGCCUGGAAUAACACGAGGAAACUUGUGCUAAUACCGGAUAAGUCUUUACGGAGAAAGCUUUAUGCACCAUUGGAUGAGCCCGCACUUGAUUAGUUUGUUGGUAGGGUAAUGGCCUACCAAGACUAUGAUCAAUAGCUGAUUUGAGAGGAUGAUCAGCCACAUUGGGACUGAGACACGGCCCAAACUCCUACGGGAGGCAGCAGUGGGGAAUCUUGCACAAUGGAGGAAACUCUGAUGCAGCGAUGCCGCGUGAGUGAAGAAGGCCUUUGGGUUGUAAAGCUCUUUCGUCGGGGAAGAAAAUGACUGUACCCGAAUAAGAAGGUCCGGCUAACUUCGUGCCAGCAGCCGCGGUAAUACGAAGGGACCUAGCGUAGUUCGGAAUUACUGGGCUUAAAGAGUUCGUAGGUGGUUGAAAAAGUUGGUGGUGAAAUCCCAGAGCUUAACUCUGGAACUGCCAUCAAAACUUUUCAGCUAGAGUAUGAUA
rnacentral:rRNA from 1 species